ensembl:rRNA 5S_rRNA 5S ribosomal RNA
UCCUAUGGCCACACCCCACUGACCCUGCCUGACCUCCUCUGAUCUUAGAAGCUAAGCGGGGUCCGGCCUGGUUAGGACUUGGAUGGGAGAGAUGGCACACUUUCCCCCUCUCCUACCACUGGCUCCACUCCAUCGAAU